CCUUAACAUUAACUUGUUAUAUCUCAUCUGUUGUAGAUAUGUACCGGUAUAAUAUGUUGAUUUUUGGUUGCGUAUUGUACAUUUUGCCUCUUUGCCAGGCGUGGUUUUGGGGGAAAAGUGGAGCUAGCGGAGUAACAGCAAAAAAAAGAUAGCAGACAAGGCAUACAGUUAUAAGGACAGUACUGAAUGGGCUUUUGGAGGUUGUAAAGGAGGCUCCAGAUUUUGCAAUGCAAAUAAAUGCAACCUGUUUGUUAACGAUGUACUAAACAGUGUUGGUGCAACUGUUCCUAAGAGACGUUCCUGGUGGUAUUCUCCAAUUAGUGCAAACGACUGGGGAAAUCCGAAUUCAAUCAGAGUCAAGAACACAGGUUGUUACAGUUUUAUCAGCAGUUUCUGGUCUAAACAACCAGGUGAUAUAAUUGCUUUUCCAGCAUCAAGCGGUAGCGGUCACGUUGGAAUUGUGUAUGAUAACAGUGAAUAUAUCAGCGCCGGUAAUAAUAAAGUGAACAAGAAAGGAUAUCCAAGCGGAAAAGAAACAACCAUCUGGAGAUACAAGUAUAACAGCAGCAAAUGUUAAAUUCUAAUGAAAUAAGACCAUCAAUUUCAUUUAUUUUUUUCCUUCUUUCGAUUUUCGUUUGUUAUUAAUUUUAGACAAACCGAGAUUAUUGAUCAUCUCUUGUGACAUAUUUAAACAUAUUUAAACAAUUGUAACACAGAAAAUGGUAAGCCAUCUUCAUGAUAUAGUAAAACAAUUAUUUUAUUUUGAUGUAUUCUUCAUUAAUUAAAAAUAUUCUUGUUUAAUAAAUGCAGAUCCUAUUGCAAA